GGGCAAACUGCCUCCUUUUGGGGGGCUCUGGCUGACCCUUCCUCAAAGCCUGGCAAACGUUCAAAGAGAAAAUUUACUGUAUACCAGAGGGACAUCUGAUCAGCAAUGGAGGUUAAUGGCAUGAUGGUUCUAGUGAUUACUUCCCAGUUACAAGGAUGGUAAGAACGUGAUCCUUGGGGUUCCUGGGU